ensembl:lncRNA
UGCGCCGGGUGCACACGCUGGGAAGUUCACACGUGCGCAACCGGCUGGGAUGCGACCAGCCCGUCCUCCGCAGAGCAGAACAAAGCGGUGUGCAAGGCAGCGGGGGCUUGAGCGAGUGCGGCGCUUUCCGGGCGCGAGUGACGGAGUCGCGCUUAGCCGCGCCAAGGGGUCGCUGCAGGCUGCCCCGCCCUUCCGAGGGACCCAGUCCUCGCUGAGACGGCCUGGGCUUGGCCCGACCCUGGAGCCGCCAGGAAAGAUGGCAAGGAAGGGUCUUGGGCGGAUCUAAAUCCCUGCGGUGCUGCCUCCUAACAAAGACCGUCGGAUGGGCGUGAGAUAAAUGGGGAGGGGGUUCCCCUACCCUAAAACAUUCCUGCUGGACAAGCCCGGACCUCCUGUCUUCAGAUGAUUCCAUAAAACGUGUGCUCGUUUCUGUCAAGCUAGCAGCCAAGAGGAGCGAUCUUCGGGCGAUGCAUUAAGUCACCGAAAUUAACCAGAGCACGCCAGUGCAAAGGGCCAAACAGUGGCCCUAAGGACAGAAAACCUGAAUAUCUACAGACCCUUUCCUGCAACAUUAAGCUGUGUUUAGUUGAAGUUUACUAAUUUAAGAUUUUGCUUCUUCCUCAGACUGACCAAGAACACAAGAAAGUCUCCCGCCUUUUAGACGAAGACGUUUGUUAGAAUCUCAGAGUUUUCGCUGCGCUCCGGGGAUUCAGAGAUCAUCCAAGGUGACCUUUUCACUUAGCAGAUGGGGUGAAGGCCUGGGAGCCCGGACUACCCACCCGUUAGUGCAGGAGCUGAAAUUAGAAUCUGCCACCCAGCUCCUCCCCAAUCUCUUCCCUAUUUUAUCUGGCUCCUGCGGAGCUACAAUCACCCUGAACUGGGUGGGGCCUUGGAGGCUCGGAUUCGACAUUUACUGACUUCCAGGGAAGACUGAGACUGCUUGACUUUACCUUUUCUCUAAAUAUAAACGCAGCCCAGAAAUGAAUGAACUGUAGAUUAGCAGUGACCUCGAGUUUUAAAAGCAACACCACCCUCUAGUGAGAGUCUGAGAACUACAUCCAUAACACCGAAAGCGCUCCCAGGCGACAGGCAAAGGACAAGGAGGGCAAAUUUCAGUCUGCCCUUCCGACCAACAGGCUAGAGGAAGGAAACAGAGGGCGCCCAACUCCACAUCCCACUGUGUUUCAGAUAAGGGCGGAUGCCCCAACACCCGCCCGUGGACAGGACACAGCAGGAGUCACUUCGGGGAGACCCUCAGGCUGAGACCCCUUCGAGAGCCAGCCGGCACUGCGGAGCUAGGCCUGCCCUAGACAGCCGUUGGCGCUGGUUCGCCUUCUGCACGCUCACUGGCAGGGACUGGGCUCUGCAGUGGGAGGUAGGACCCGAGGCAGAGCCACAGAGCCCUUCUGAAGAGCAGCUCUGCGCUGUGUCCCUCGGGCCCAUGGAGACUUGGUUCUCACCCGACUGGACAACUGCGAUCUCUUCCAGAUCCAAAUAAAAAACAAGCGGACGCCUGGACGCAGGAUCCGGGCCGGGCGGUACUUCUCCGCGGACAAACAGCUCCCGGGAGGAGCGCCUUCGAUCUCAGUCCGGGGCAAAUAAUCUGGAUAACCUUUAAAUGGAACAUAGUUAAAAUCUUAUUCACUGAAAAGAUUCCAAUCAACAAAAUCUACACAAAAUUGGAAAAGAAUUAUGUUAUCCUUAAGCAACCUUCAGAAUGUCAUCCAUAACCCGACCAUCCCCUAUGUUGGCACCAUUUCUGAGCAGUUGGAGGCUGGGUCCUUGGUUGUCACCCGUGGCCAUGUUCCUAGUCGUGCUGAGCGAUUCCAGGUGGCUCUGCAGUGCGCGGCAGCAUGAAGCCCGGACGAUGUGGCCUUUCACUUCAACCCCCGCUUCAAGCGGGCUGACCACAUUGUAUGCAACACUGACACAUGGAAGGUGGGGAUGGGAGGAGAUCGCCUAUGACAGGUCCUUCCAAAAGGAAAGCUCUUUGAAAUCAUGAUCAUGGUGCUGAAGGACAGAUUCCAGGGUUUACAAAGUACCCAAGCAUCCACUCUAGGACUGACAAACAUAAAUAGAGAAGAUGCACCAAGGUCCGGCAUUUCACAGUUUACCCUGCCCUUCGAAGCAAGGUUGGAUCCCCAUGGGCCCUGGACGAACUGUAGUCAUUAAAGGAGAAGUGAACACGAAGGCCAAAAGCUUUGUUGAUCUAAUAGCAGGAAAACCAAAGGAUAUUGCUCUAAAUUGAACCCAUGCCUGAAUAUUAAAGCACUUGUAAGAAAUUCUUUUCUUAAUGAUGCCUGGGGAGAAGAAGAGAGAAAUAUUACCUUCUUUCCAUUCAGGCCUGGGAUGUACUUUGAGAUGAUAAGUUAUUGUGAUGUUAGAGAUUUCAAGGUUGCCAUCAAUGGAGCACACAGCCUGGAGUACAAUCACAGAUUUCAGAGCUGGGCAGCAUCGACACAGUGGCCGUCAACAGUGAUAUCCACUUACUGGAAGCAAGGAGCUGGUAACCCCCAGGAGUGCCGCAAACCCAAAUACAGAAUGGCUGUGUGAUCUUGGCUGUGUCAAAGUGCACCUCACUGUUCCCGCCUUGUUGAAAUUGCCCUUCUGUAGCAUUAAGUCCCACUGUUGUCCCAUGGCCCUGAGGGGAAAUCUGAGGCGACAGCCACAUACAGCCUUUGAAGCAACGGCUUUUUCCCCACAUGGCCUCUUUUGAAACCACACUCAAGAAGUAUUUAUUAAGUGCCUACUGUAACACAGCCACUAACUGGCAUUGAGCACACUUUCCGUCAGCAGUGACAGGAGCAGGUGCACACACAUGGUGGUGCGGAGGCAGUGUCCCUCUUCUCUGGGAACCGAAGUCCAAGGGCUUCAGUGCUUUGCCCGUGUACACUGCCUGCCUUGUUGGGUCUAUUGGGUUAAGGGUCAUGCUGCUAUUCAGUCACAUAAAAUACUAAUUUCCAGAAGACACCACUCCUUUCCCAGAGACUCCUUUCACAAUGAGCAUCUAUGGUGUCCCAGUCAAGAGGACUGAUGUCAACUGUCAUCUGCCAGUGAAUCUGUAGCACAAUAAACAUAUAGCUCUCCUUGCUAUAAGCUUUACCAAAUAAUUAACAUGAAUAUGACAUCUGAGCUCAGCAGAAAAGUUAAGGCCAAAAGCAAACACCCCCACCCCCAAAACCAACCAACCAACCAAAAAACAACCCCAAACAAUGCACCCAUCGUGUUGACUCAAAAAAAUAAAAAACAAGAAUGAAGUAUGGUUUCUUUUGUAAGCCUUUUUCUGUUCUGUUUUUUCAGCUAUAUAGCUCCUUUUCUAACCACAGUAUAAGUUUAUCUGCUUUACAAAGUGAGGAACUAUAAAAAUAAGCCCUUUCUUUAAGAAAAACUCCCCUUGGAAGCCAAAUGUCUGGUGAAAGCUAGAUGGCCAUUCA